GGAAGGGUGGCUCAGUGGUAGAGCGCCGCGACCGACUCCAGCAUCGGUCGGCGGUCGUCCCUUCAGGGCUUCGCGUGGUUCGAAUCCCGCCCCUUCCA
rnacentral:tRNA from 3 species